rnacentral:rRNA from 1 species
CCCUUAGAUGUCCUGGGCCGCACGCGUGCUACACUGACGCCUACAGCGAGUACUUCCCAGCCCCGAGAGGCGGCUGGUAAUCAGCAAUAGGCGUCGUGAUGGGGAUAGAUCUUUGGAAUUCUGGAUCUUGAACGAGGAAUGCCUAGUAAGCGCAGGUCAUUAGCCUGCGCUGAUUACGUCCCUGCCCUUUGUACACACCGCCCGUCGCUCCUACCGAUUUCGAGUGGUCCGGUGAAUCUUUCGGACUGCGCGCAGCUUCGUGCCGUGUCGCGGAAAGUCAGGUAAACCUUACCAUUUAGAGGAAGGUGAAGUCGUAACA